GAGGUAUCAGGAGCUUGCUCCUUUGACGUUAGCGGCGGACGGGUGAGUAACACGUGGAUAACCUACCUAUAAGACUGGGAUAACUUCGGGAAACCGGAGCUAAUACCGGAUAACAUAUUGAACCGCAUGGUUCAAUAGUGAAAGGCGGCUUUGCUGUCACUUAUAGAUGGAUCCGCGCCGUAUUAGCUAGUUGGUAAGGUAACGGCUUACCAAGGCAACGAUACGUAGCCGACCUGAGAGGGUGAUCGGCCACACUGGAACUGAGACACGGUCCAGACUCCUACGGGAGGCAGCAGUAGGGAAUCUUCCGCAAUGGGCGAAAGCCUGACGGAGCAACGCCGCGUGAGUGAUGAAGGUCUUCGGAUCGUAAAACUCUGUUAUCAGGGAAGAACAAAUGUGUAAGUAACUGUGCACAUCUUGACGGUACCUGAUCAGAAAGCCACGGCUAACUACGUGCCAGCAGCCGCGGUAAUACGUAGGUGGCAAGCGUUAUCCGGAAUUAUUGGGCGUAAAGCGCGCGUAGGCGGUUUUUUAAGUCUGAUGUGAAAGCCCACGGCUCAACCGUGGAGGGUCAUUGGAAACUGGAAAACUUGAGUGCAGAAGAGGAAAGUGGAAUUCCAUGUGUAGCGGUGAAAUGCGCAGAGAUAUGGAGGAACACCAGUGGCGAAGGCGACUUUCUGGUCUGUAACUGACGCUGAUGUGCGAAAGCGUGGGGAUCAAACAGGAUUAGAUACCCUGGUAGUCCACGCCGUAAACGAUGAGUGCUAAGUGUUAGGGGGUUUCCGCCCCUUAGUGCUGCAGCUAACGCAUUAAGCACUCCGCCUGGGGAGUACGACCGCAAGGUUGAAACUCAAAGGAAUUGACGGGGACCCGCACAAGCGGUGGAGCAUGUGGUUUUAAUUCG
rnacentral:rRNA from 1 species